rnacentral:rRNA from 1 species
UACGAAGGGGGCUAGCGUUGUUCGGAUUUACUGGGCGUAAAGCGCACGUAGGCGGAUCGUUAAGUCGGGGGUGAAAUCCUGGAGCUCAACUCCAGAACUGCCUUCGAUACUGGCGAUCUUGAGUCCGGAAGAGGUGAGUGGAACUCCUAGUGUAGAGGUGGAAUUCGUAGAUAUUAGGAAGAACACCAGUGGCGAAGGCGGCUCACUGGUCCGGUACUGACGCUGAGGUGGCGAAAGCGUGGGGAGCAAACAGGG